UACGUAGGGUGCAAGCGUUAAUCGGAAUUACUGGGCGUAAAGCGUGCGCAGGCGGUUAUGCAAGACAGAUGUGAAAUCCCCGGGCUCAACCUGGGAACUGCAUUUGUGACUGCAUGGCUAGAGUGCGGCAGAGGGGGAUGGAAUUCCGCGUAUAGCAGUGAAAUGCGUAGAUAUGCGGAGGAACACCGAUGGCGAAGGCAAUCCCCUGGGCCUGCACUGACGCUCAUGCACGAAAGCGUGGGGAGCAAACAGG
rnacentral:rRNA from 1 species